rnacentral:rRNA from 1 species
AGUGAACGCUGGCGGUAGGCCUAACACAUGCAAGUCGAACGGCAGCACAGUAAGAGCUUGCUCUUACGGGUGGCGAGUGGCGGACGGGUGAGGAAUACAUCGGAGUCUACUUUUUCGUGGGGGAUAACGUAGGGAAACUUACGCUAAUACCGCAUACGACCUACGGGUGAAAGCAGGGGAUCUUCGGACCUUGCGCGAUUGAAUGAGCCGAUGUCGGAUUAGCUAGUUGGCGGGGUAAAGGCCCACCAAGGCGACGAUCCGUAGCUGGUCUGAGAGGAUGAUCAGCCACACUGGAACUGAGACACGAUCCAGACUCCUACGGGAGGCAGCAGUGGGGAAUAUUGGACAAUGGGCGCAAGCCUGAUCCAGCCAUACCGCGUGGGUGAAGAAGGCCUUCGGGUUGUAAAGCCCUUUUGUUGGGAAAGAAAAGCAGCAGGUUAAUACCCCGCUGUUCUGACGGUACCCAAAGAAUAAGCACCGGCUAACUUCGUG